rnacentral:rRNA from 1 species
AGUGGGGAAUCUUCCACAAUGGACGAAAGUCUGAUGGAGCAACGCCGCGUGAGUGAAGAAGGGUUUCGGCUCGUAAAGCUCUGUUGUCGGGGACGAACGUGAGAUACUUGAAUAAAGUGUCUCAAUGACGGUACCUGACGAGGAAGCCACGGCUAACUACGUGCCAGCAGCCGCGGUAAUACGUAGGUGGCAAGCGUUGUCCGGAAUUAUUGGGCGUAAAGGGAGCGCAGGCGGGAAGGUAAGUCGGUCUUAAAAGUGCGGGGCUCAACCCCGUGAUGGGAUCGAAACUAUCUUUCUUGAGUGCAGGAGAGGAAAGUGGAAUUCCUAGUGUAGCGGUGGAAUGCGUAGAUAUUAGGAGGAACACCAGUGGCGAAGGCGACUUUCUGGACUGUAACUGACGCUGAGGCUCGAAAGCCAGGGGAGCGAACGGGAUUAGAUACCCCGGUAGUCCUGGCCGUAAACGAUGAAUACUAGGUGUGGGAGGUAUCGACCCCUUCCGUGCCGGAGUUAACGCAAUAAGUAUUCCGCCUGGGGA